UGCCCCACCUCUUCACUGCCUUCUCAGCCAAUGGGAGCACAGUGUACACGCCCCCUUCUCCAGCGCGGCUUUUUUGACAUACGAGCAGGAGAAGAUGCCGACUGCUGGAGAGAUGAGAGGGAGGAGGGGACAGCCUGCAGUGUGGGGUGGAUUGCUGCCUCAUAAAAGUAUUUCAAUAUCAUAGAAAGCUGCAGCAAAUCGGGUUGAGCGAUGAGGACCAGAUCUGGCGUCAGUGCUAAUGUAGGAUUUCAGCUUUGACCGACACCUCCACAGCUUCAGCUCUCUGGGGACCGCCUGUGGGCUCAGCAUGGCUGGGUUUCUGGUAUGAAGGCUGAACGUUAGGAAAACAAAUUUGAGAGAUGAAAUACAUACAUAGGAGCUAUUCUAUCUGAUGAAGGAUUUAUAUUUCUAUCCAUUCUGUUCGAGGUUUAAACAGCAUAGUACAGCACAGCCCCCGGGCAGGGCAGGAGACCAAAUGUUCCUCUGCUGCAGUAAAGAUACAGGUUUGGACCCUCCCUCAUCUCUCUGUCACUCUGCUUGUGUCUUCUGUCAGUGUGAUUCUUGUUAGUAUAUAAGCAGUGCAGUGCUGCUGUCUGAGCUGUACUAUACUGUGCAUGGGACCAAGUCAAAUUCCGGCAUUUCGAUUACUUACUUUUAAGCAUUUAUUUUUAUUGAUGUAUAAAUGAAUACAGGUCUGCAUUAAUUUGUGUAUUUUAUAUCUUCCUGCAGCUUGGAGGUAAGCUAUAAACAAAUUAUAUUUUGUGUUAUGUUUUGUAAUGCAAUCGAGGUAUACACAUCCUCACUAGAAGUGAUAAACAGAGCCAGGACAAGGGGUGGGCAGGAGGAUAAGCUGCCCUGGGCACAGCAGAGAAGAGGACAAAGAAUGGACACUGGGCAAUAAAUCCAUUCUACGGCAUGCAUUAAUGGGGAGGGGGCAGUUCUGCAUCCUUGCCCUGGCCGCUAGAUAAACCUGUCCAUAUCCCACUGUAUAAACUUACUUUUGAACU